ACCAGUCGACCAUCCCAGAGUGAUGCAAACGCGGGAUUCAGACGAAGGCCUCGGGCUUGCUGUCCUCGUUGGCCUUGACGUAGAUCUUGGGGUCGUCCAGGCGCUCGUCCCGGAGGCGCUGCAGCGUCCGGCUGUGGCACAGCAGAGUGGGUCUCCCUCCAGCGGUCCGACCAUGGCCAUGAAGAGGGGCUGCUGCAGGAGGGCGAACAGAGCGCUGAUCAGAGACUGCAUCCCCGUCAGGCUGCCGAACUGAGAGGACGGGUACCUGCAGGGGACAAACGACACGCUCAAGCUGGAGGUCAACCAUCUAAAUGUUGGAGCAUUUAAUUGAGCAUUUUCUGCAUGAAAUGUGAAUUUCAUUUGAAACAGUUCAGUAAAGGAACUCGUAACCAUCGUCUGUGUUAAGGAUGCUUUAUGUUUACAUUCAACAUAUGUGUGCAUGCCACUAAUAUUGUGAAUUGAGAUUGGAGAAAUAAGAGAAGGUGAAAAAAAAGAUUUCCUCUUAAUUUAUCGCAAGUUUUAACCAAAUGUUGAAGAGAAUUGACCGUAGUAAAUGCC